GGCGGCUAACUGGGCGUGCGGCCAGGUGUUACUUUGUGUGGACCCCGGGGAGUGGCGCCUCACCCUGGGGAUAACUCACCUGCUGACCUCUGGAGUCGAUAUAGGUGACCCAGUGUGAUAAACCAGGUCGCCACAGUUGCAGCUUAUACUGACGAGCAAACUCCCUGCCCUGGCCGUUCCCGAAGCGCCCCUGCACCUCUACCUUCGUCACUAGAUGCGGCGCUCCUAGAUUCACCUCCAGGUGAGCAGGACAGGUAUUCCCGCACGUCCAUCACCUCACAGAUAGCGGAAGGACCUGAGCACAACACUGAAGGGAAGGACCUAUAUAAGCAAUAAAAAAAAAAAAAAAGAAAAAAAAUGCAGGAAGCGGUCACAAGAAGGGUCGCCGGAGUAACUAACUGUGACUGGAAAUGAAAGCAGAAAUAUGUGGCACCACCAGGAGAGUGAAGGGAGGCGAGGUGGCACACACAGACUGACAGACGCCUGACCGAGUUGAAGGCGAUGAGGUGGCUGGUCAGGACGCCAAGUUCACUUUUCAGACAGACUUCGGGUAAAUGUGAAGUUUCAGCCUAUCCUUCCUCAACCUCUUAAACCCCGGAACCUUUUCGACCCUCUCAUGAGAGAUGAGCGGCAGCAGCGGCAUGGGUGAGUGGAGGCGGGUGGUGGUGGCGGCGGAGGCAGGAGGCAGUGUGUGUGUGUCAAGUGUGUCCCCAAGCAGGACCAUUGGCGGUUCGGACUCGCCAAGAAACCUGUUCGGAGUCACGGUGAAGGGGCAGCUGCAGUGUGGCAAGCUUGUUGAUCUACUGGAGGGGCCUGAAUGAAGUGGUGGAGGUGGAUUACUUAAAGAACAUCCCUCCACACACCCCCUAAAGAUUCCCUCCACAUUGGUUAUUAGAACACGAUCUCAAGAAAAUCAAGUUGUGUGGCUGGUUUAGUUCCUUGAUGCGGCGUCACCAGGUGUUCCCCGUGUGUACUGCCAACAUGCUGUAUCCUACUUAAAGUCAGCUGAAUGUAAUCCUCCAGACUUGGUAUCUUCUGUACAGUUUAGUUCAAUAAUUGUGUUCACUUGAUGGCAUUUUUACCUCUCACGAUCCCUUCAGGAAUGUAUCUCUCACAUAAUUUGAGAAAUCCCUGUAUUAGUCUGUUUCAACUUUACCAGAUUGUCUACACUGGAACUCCCUGCCUGCUUCUGUGUUUCUAUCUUCCUAUGACCUAAACUCAUUUAAGAGGGAGGAAGGUUUCAAGACAUUUAUUCCAUUCUUUUGGCUAAUUCUCUCUUUCUUGGAGCUGCUUGGGGCUGGCAUCUAAAUGAGCAUUUUUAAAAUAUUUUUUUUACCCUUGGCUAAAUUUCCCAUCUUACAUAAAAAAAAAAAAAAAAAAAAAAUAAUGAUAAUAAAUCUCACCCUAACCUGGCCUUGUCUCACCCUACCUAUU